GAAAGGGAUACUUCUUCGGACAAUAUACAAGGUGCUGCAUGGUUGUCGUCAGCUCGUGCCGUGAGGUGUCGGGUUAAGUCCCAUAACGAGCGCAACCCUUGUCCUUAGUUACCAGCACGUUAUGGUGGGCACUCUAAGGAAGACUGCCGGUGACAAACCGGAGGAAGGUGGGGAGUGACGUCAAGUCAUCAUGGCCCUUACGGCCUGGGCUACACACGUGCUACAAUGGUCGGUACAAAGGGUUGCCAAGCCGCGAGGUGGAGCUAAUCCCAUAAAACCGAUCGUAGUCCGGAUCGCAGUCUGCAACUCGACUGCGUGAAGUCGGAAUCGCUAGUAAUCGUGAAUCAGAAUGUCACGGUGAAUACGUUCCCGGGCCUU
rnacentral:rRNA from 1 species